rnacentral:misc_RNA from 1 species
AAGUCGUAACAAGGUUUCCGUAGGUGAACCUGCGGAAGGAUCAUUACAGAAUUGAACGCGGGUUGGGCUGACUGCUGGCUCCUCGGAGCAGGUGCACGCCCUCCCCACGCCUUCCAUUCUCCACGUCCCACCUGUGCACCUUCCGUAGGGCCGUCAAGCCCCUCCGGGGGGGCAAACCUUUUCUUUUUUGCCCCCUUGCUUUUCGGCUCUGCGAGCUCUUUUGUAUACACCCUUGAGAAAAACGCGUUGCAGAGUGUUCUUGUACAAAAGGGGACCCUCACCGGCCCCAUAGACAAUACCAAUACAACUUUCAACAACGGAUCUCUUGGCUCUC